rnacentral:rRNA from 1 species
AGUGAACGCUGGCGGUAGGCCUAACACAUGCAAGUCGAACGGCAGCACAGUAAGAGUUUGCUCUUACGGGUGGCGAGUGGCGGACGGGUGAGGAAUACAUCGGAAUCUACUUUUUCGUGGGGGAUAACGUAGGGAAACUUACGCUAAUACCGCAUAUGACCUACGGGUGAAAGCAGUGGAUCUUCGGACCUUGCGCGAUUGAAUGAGCCGAUGUCGGAUUAGCUAGUUGGCGGGGUAAAGGCCCACCAAGGCGACGAUCCGUAGCUGGUCUGAGAGGAUGAUCAGCCACACUGGAACUGAGACACGGUCCAGACUCCUACGGGAGGCAGCAGUGGGGAAUAUUGGACAAUGGGCGCAAGCCUGAUCCAGCCAUACCGCGUGGGUGAAGAAGGCCUUCGGGUUGUAAAGCCCUUUUGUUGGGAAAGAAAAGCAGCAGGUUAAUACCCCGCUGUUCUGACGGUACCCAAAGAAUAAGCACCGGCUAACUUCGUG